rnacentral:rRNA from 1 species
UACGUAGGUGGCAAGCGUUGCCCGGAUUUACUGGGCGUAAAGAGCGCGCAGGCGGUCGUUCAAGUCGCGUGUGAAAGCCCCCGGCUCAACUGGGGAGGGUCACGCGAUACUGAUCGACUCGAAGGCAGGAGAGGGUAGUGGAAUUCCCGGUGUAGUGGUGAAAUGCGUAGAUAUCGGGAGGAACACCAGUGGCGAAGGCGACUACCUGGCCUGUUUCUUGACGCUGAGGCGCGAAAGCUAGGGGAGCAAACAGG